rnacentral:rRNA from 1 species
CUACGUGCCAGCAGCCGCGGUAAUACGGAAGGUCCAGGCGUUAUCCGGAUUUAUUGGGUUUAAAGGGAGCGCAGGCGGGAGUAUAAGUCAGCUGUUAAAUAUCAGGGCCCAACUCUGUUAUGCAGUUGAAACUAUAUUUCUUGAGUACGCACAGGGAUGGCGGAAUUCAGGGUGUAGCGGUGAAAUGCUUAGAUAUCCUGAAGAACUCCGAUCGCGAAGGCAGCCAUCCGGAGCGUAACUGACGCUGAGGCUCGAAGGUGCGGGUAUCGAACAGGAUUAGAUACCCUGGUAGUCCGCACGGUAAACGAUGAAUACUCGCAGUUCGGCCUUUUAGGUCGAGUUGUCCAGCGAAAGCGUUAAGUAUUCCACCUGGGGAGUACGCCGGCAACGGUGAAACUCAAAGGAAUUGACGGGGGCCCGCACAAGCGGAGGAACAUGUGGUUUAAUUCGAUGAUACGCGAGGAACCUUACCCGGGCU